UACAAGGGUAAGAAGAGGAAUCAUGUGGAAGAAGAGUAACCAUCUGGCAGGCAUUGGACAAAGCUAAGACCAAGAGAAAAUUGAUGAACGUGGUUCAAUCCAACAUGGUGUCCUGGGUAGCUGAAACUGUGAAAAGCAAAACCGUGGAUGAGGGGGAACUACUAUACGGAAAAUGUACAAAACAGAGAAGAUUUCAUUGAAGAAGUCUGCUGUUUCUGGAAUGGGAAAUUAAGAUAAAAAUUGAAGCUCUCAUCUUCUAUAACAUCAUUGGUACUUUUGAAGCACAACUGGAACACUUAUCGACUGUGAUUCUUGCUGGGACCAAUAACCUUCUACAAAUACCAACAUCAGUUUCCAUGAAAGGCAAAUUGCUGACAGGGAGAGUUUCGUGAAGAAGUGAUUGGGAAAGAGAGCAAGUCUUGGAUGGACAGUGUGUCUGUUUUCAUGCUGCUGAUAAAGACAUACCUGAGACUGGGCAAUUUACAAAAGAAAGAGAUUUCUUGGACUUACAGUUCCACAUGGCCGGGGAGGCCUCACGAUCAUGGCAGAAGGCAAGGAGGAGCAAGUCACAUCUUAUGUGGAUGGCAGCAGGCAAAGAGACAGCAAGCUUGUGCAAGGAGACUCCCAUUUUUAAAACCAUCAGAUCUCGUGAGACUUCCUCACUAUCAGUAGAACAGCAAGUGUGAGACCAAGGACCCUGGGGCUCCUCCAGUCAUUGCAGCUGUAUCACAACUACCCUGACAGAUUUCUUGCUCAGGGCAAGCCACCUGCCAUGUCUUGAGAACACUCAAGCAGCACAUGGCAAGGAAUGGAGAUGGACAGACACGGGCCAGCAAGAAACAGGCUUGCCAACAACAGCUUGCGUGAUCCUGAAAGUGGGUCCUCUAGCCCCAUGUGACUGUUGCCCUGGCCAACAACUUAACUGCAACCUCAAGAGAUACCUACCCUGAGUCAGAACCACCCAGUCAAACUACCCCUGGCAUCUUAACUCAGAGUAACUGUGAGAUAAUUAUGAUGAUUUUAAGCUUCUCAGUUUGGAGGCCCCGUUGACUGGAGGAUGGCCAUUUGACAACACAUUAUUUCCUGAGGAAACUUUUGACUUCUGGUGACUUGGGCCCCAGGCAAGCUGGCUGAAUUUGCCAAGACCCGGCUCUGCCCUUGCAUGUGUGAAAAAUGGCCUCAAGUAUGACCCCAUGGCAAGAUGGAAAGAAACUGUGCUCUUGAAUAGCUUAGAGAUUCAGAGACCCCCAACCAGCUUGAAACGCCCACCUCAAAACAAUGACAUGAGAAGAAACAAACCUCUAAUUUAAGCCACUGUCUUUUAAAGAGCAUUGUAGUUUGAGAUCUCUUUCUUUCAGCUGUUUAGUCCCCACCUAAACACUUACUGACCUUAUCUUACAGGUCAAGAAAAAUGAAGUUCUGGGGUACAAGUCACUAAUGUAUUAGAAAUUUUCCAGCUCUCCCUUCUUGCCCAGCAGAGUAUAUUUCCACUCAAACACAAUGAACCCAUUUGGAAUGGGACAAAACAAAAUGGGGUGGGCCUGGAACAAGAGAAAGUUCAGCUACACAGGAUCCAGGUCAAAACUCUUUAAUGCUCCCAUUUCUGGAUCUCAAAUGAACACCUUUUUGUCUAGCAGUUCUCCUCCAGAGGUUUGCUUUCCCACAACAGCUUGUCAACAGGGUAAGAAGUUCAAAAAGAACUUUUGGGGUUGCAGGUUGCAGGUUGCAGGUUGUGUGGCAUCAUCCCAGCUUGUCUCAACACCUCUGAUGAACAGUAGCAGAAGAAAGGACUCUUUCCACAUGAGUUCCUCGGCAGUCCCUGUCUCUUAGGGAGUUUAUAAAAAAAUCCAUCAUCUUGUUCUACUAAACCCAAGUAAAUAUAAUUAACACCAAAUGUGUGUUCUGCUCAUCAAAUUGUACAGCCAUAAAGAGAUAAUCUUUGUAAAAUAAAUGACUAGGCUUCCUUGAUAAGUCAAUAAGGCAAAAACCUUGAGAGUAAAUUAAGACAAAUGGGAAACCAGCUGGAAGAAAUCAAACAGGCAAAGCAGGUGGGGUGGCUUGUGUUUGGGAAGAUAAAACACAGCAUGAAGCAUUUGCACAUUUACACAAAAGCAAGAUCUAUAACCUUAUGCUUUGAACUGAGCUAAAUGCAUGACUUAUUUAAGAAGAGCUGGUA